UACGGAGGGUGCAAGCGUUAUCCGGAUUCACUGGGUUUAAAGGGUGCGUAGGCGGGUAUAUAAGUCAGGGGUGAAAGUUCCGGGCUUAACUUGGAAACUGCCAUUGAUACUGUAUAUCUUGAAUGUCGUUGAGGUUAGCGGAAUGUUGCAUGUAGCGGUGAAAUGCUUAGAUAUGUUACAGAACACCAAUUGUGAAGACAGCUAACUAAGCGAUGAUUGACGCUGAGGCACGAAAGCGUGGGGAGCAAACAGG
rnacentral:rRNA from 1 species